ensembl:snRNA U1 U1 spliceosomal RNA
AUGCUUAACUGACAGGGAAGUUACCAUGAUUACAAAGGUAGCUUUCCAAGGCUGAAGCUUAUUCACUGAAUUCCAGAUGUGCUGGUCACUGUGAUUUCCCCAAAUGUGAGAAAUUCAUCUGCAUAAUUUGUGGCAGAUUGAGAUUGUGUUCAUGGUUUCCUC